rnacentral:tRNA from 1 species
AUCUUUUUAGUAUAAACCCAGUACAAGUGACUUCCAAUCACUUAAUCUUGGUUCAAUCCCAAGAAAAGAUA